rnacentral:rRNA from 1 species
AGAGUUUGAUCCUGGCUCAGGAUGAACGCUAGCGGCAGGCUUAACACAUGCAAGUCGAACGGCAGCGGGGAUUCACUUCGGUGAAUCUGCCGGCGAGUGGCGCACGGGUGAGUAACACGUAUGCAACCUGCCUCUGUCAGGGGUAUAACUCUGCGAAAGUAGGGCUAAUACCGCGUAUAUUCCCGGAGGGCAUCCUCCGGGGAGGAAAGGUUUCGGCCGGACAGAGAUGGGCAUGCGGCGCAUUAGGCAGUUGGCGGGGUAACGGCCCACCAAACCGACGAUGCGUAGGGGUUCUGAGAGGAAGGUCCCCCACACUGGUACUGAGACACGGACCAGACUCCUACGGGAGGCAGCAGUGAGGAAUAUUGGUCAAUGGCCGGAAGGCUGAACCAGCCAAGCCGCGUGAAGGACGAAGGUGCCAAGCAUUGUAAACUUCUUUUGUCAAGGGACAAAAUCAGGCUCGAGAGCCUGACCGAGGGUACUUGAAGAAAAAGCAUCGGCUAACUCCGUG